rnacentral:rRNA from 1 species
UAUAAGCAAUCUAUACAGUGAAACUGCGAAUGGCUCAUUAAAUCAGUUAUCGUUUAUUUGAUAGUACAUUACUACUUGGAUAACCGUGGUAAUUCUAGAGCUAAUACAUGCUAAAAAUCCCUUCCUUUGGUUGGGAUGUAUUUAUUAGAUAAAAAACCAAUGUCUUCGGACUCUUUGGUGAUUCAUAAUAACUUUUCGAAUCGCAUAGCCUUGUGCUGGCGAUGGUUCAUUCAAAUUUCUGCCCUAUCAACUUUCGAUGGUAGGAUAGUGGCCUACCAUGGUUUCAACGGGUGACGGGGAAUCAGGGUUCUAUUCCGGAGAGGGAGCCUGAGAAACGGCUACCACAUCCAAGGAAGGCAGCAGGCGCGCAAAUUACCCAAUCCUAAUACGGGGAGGUAGUGACAAUAAAUAACGAUACAGGGCUUUUUAAGUCUUGUAAUUGGAAUGAGAACAAUUUAAAUACCUUAACGAGGAACAAUUGGAGGGCAAGUCUGGUGCCAGCAGCCGCGGUAAUUCCAGCUCCAAUAGCGUAUAUUAAAGUUGUUGCAGUUAAAAAGCUCGUAGUUGAACCUUGGACUUGAUCUGCUGGUCCACCGUUUGGUGAGUACUGGUUUAGAUCGAGUCUUUCCUCCUGAUUAGCUAUAGUUACCUUUAUUGGUUAUUAUAGUGACUCAGGACUUUUACUUUGAAAAAAUUAGAGUGUUCAAAGCAGGCCUUUGCUCGAAUAUAUUAGCAUGGAAUAAUAGAAUAGGACGUAUGGUUCUAUUUUGUUGGUUUCUAGGACCGUCGUAAUGAUUAAUAGGGACAGUCGGGGGGCAUCAGUAUUCAAUUGUCAGAGGUGAAAUUCUUGGAUUUAUUGAAGACUAACUACUGCGAAAGCAUUUGCCAAGGAUGUUUUCAUUAAUCAAGAACGAAAGUUAGGGGAUCGAAGACGAUCAGAUACCGUCGUAGUCUUAA